rnacentral:rRNA from 1 species
CUUUGCGGCACGAGUUGUAGAUUGCAGGUUGGAGUCUGUGUGGAAGGCGGUGUCCAAGUCCCUUGGAACAGGGCGCCCAGGAGGGUGAGAGCCCCGUGGGAUGCCGGCGGAAGCAGUGAGGCCCUUCUGACGAGUCGAGUUGUUUGGGAAUGCAGCUCCAAGCGGGUGGUAAAUUCCAUCUAAGGCUAAAUACUGGCGAGAGACCGAUAGCGAACAAGUACUGUGAAGGAAAGAUGAAAAGCACUUUGAAAAGAGAGUGAAACAGCACGUGAAAUUGUUGAAAGGGAAGGGUAUUGCGCCCGACAUGGGGAUUGCGCACCGCUGCCUCUCGUGGGCGGCGCUCUGGGCUUUCCCUGGGCCAGCAUCGGUUCUUGCUGCAGGAGAAGGGGUUCUGGAACGUGGCUCUUCGGAGUGUUAUAGCCAGGG